rnacentral:misc_RNA from 1 species
AAGUCGUAACAAGGUUUCCGUAGGUGAACCUGCGGAAGGAUCAUUAUUGAAUAAACCUGGCUUGCUGAUGCUGGUCUCUCCGGAGGCAUGUGCUCGCUUGUCAUCUUUAUAUCUCCACCUGUGCACCUAUUGUAGAACUGGGAUGUGGGACUGCUGUGUGUUUUGCGAUGCCAGCUUUCCUUGUUUCUCUCCAGUGCUACGCUUUUCAUAUACACUCAAAAUGUAAACGAAUGUUGAUCAUGGGUCUUUGUACCUAUAAAACAAAUAUACAACUUUCAGCAACGGAUCUCUUGGCUCUC